GGGGUGCGCUUGGCUUUAAACUUUUGCCGAUCCGGUGGGCCCCAUGAUCCUUACUUUCUUUUUGCUAGUUGAUCCCAACCCCAGUUGGGGUGUGCUUGGUUUUGAGCUUUUGCCAAUCCGAUGAGGCCCAUGCUCUUUGCUUUCUCUUUCCUAGUUGAUCCCAAAUAGAUUGGGGUGCGCUUGGACCCCUUAGCUGUCCUUCCGGACCCGUGGGCCUUCGGUUUCUCAAUCGAUCCAAGGUGUUCAAGACUUCUUUUUUUUCCUUUUUUUUCUCUUUUUUUUUCUUCAUUUUUCUUGCCCUUGAGCUGUCCAUGCGAGCCCUAAUGCCCCAUAGCUGUACUUCCAGACCCGUGUGCCUUCGGUCUCUCAACCGAUCCAAGGUGUUCACAACCCUUUUUUUUUUCCUGCGCUUGAGCUGUCCAUGCGGGCCCCAAUACCCCUUAGCUGUCCUUCCGGACCCGUGCACCUUCAGUCUCUCAACCGAUAUAAGGUGUUUACGACCCUUUUUUUCCCCUUUAUUUUUGUUGUGCUUGAGCUGUCCAUGUGGGCCCAAAUACCCUUUAAAUGUCCUUCUGGACCUGUGCGUCUUUGGUUUCUCAACCGAUCCAAGAUGUUCACGACCUUUUUUUUUUUUUUUUUUUGGCUGACCUCUUGGACUCCAUAUGCCUUCAGUUUCUCCUUUUCGUUUUCACCGACUCCCAAGCGAUCCACAAUCUAGUCUUUACGUGAGAGGGUGAACAAGCCUAGCUCCGUAGGUGUACUUACUACCUUGCACCACUUAUUGCUUACAUCUGUUGCUCUUCUUUAUUUUUUUAUUGAAGUGCGUGCAACUUUCUGUCAUGGAAGCACAUGCAUUGGGUAGAAAUAAUUUCGAUUGGUCAUAUCAGACCAGGCUUUGUUGCCAGAGCCUAAGGCAAAUAUCCGAGCUGGCCACAUAAAACCUUAUCUUUGCGUUUGAAAAACUUCUUCCCAUGACUUCUGUGAAUUAUUUCCCAAUCUUAGCCCCAUGCUAUAAAAGGUCGGUCAAUAGGGAUACAUUCAUUCGUAAAAUCAUUUAUACUUUGCUUUUGUUCUUCAUAUAUAAGCUCUAUGCGCGAAGGGAGAGGAAAGUGUUCUGUGCGUCUGAGAACUCUGCUGAAGGGCUCUUGUUGUUGCCACCACCUACAAAUUGGUGGAAGCGUUUUUGAAGGGACACACAUGAGUUGAUGAAGUUUGCUAUUCGGGUCCUUAGCCUUACUUGUAGUGCAUCUGGGUGUGAGAGGAAUAAGAGCACAUUUGAGCAAAUUCAUACAAAGAAAAGAAAUAGACUUGAAAAUCAAAAGCUCAAUGCUCUAACAUAUGUGAAGUAUAAGACGGCACUAAGAGAGAGAAGUAUUAGAAGGAGUUCAAAGAUUGAUCCAAUAUUAGUGAAUGAAAUUGAGUCCGAUGAUGAAUGGAUAGCUGAGGUUGAAGAACCAAUUCUACAAACUGAUCUUACUUGGCUUAAUUCUCAAGAAUUAUAUGAUGUUAAUGUCAUCAGAUACUCGAGUGCCUAUUUCUGUGCUGCCUAUUGGUGAUCCUAUGACUCAAGAGCAAGGGAAUAUUCAUGUUAGGACUCAAGAGCCUAUUGUCCAUUCUAGAACUCAAGAUCCUAUUAUUGGUGAUGAUCUUAUUCUUGACGAUGAUGUUCUUCUUUCCUCGUUAGCUUCAAAAAAGAGAAAAGAUGGUGACACCUAUGGAAAGUAAGAGGAAAGUCAAAAGCAAGUCCAUAAGAGCGAUGCUUAUGGAUGAAGAUGAUGAGAUAGAUAAAGAUCCUUCAACAUUUGAUAGUGGGAAAUAUCCUUUUCAUAUUGAUAUAGUUGAUCAAUAUGAUAGUGAUGCUAGUUUGAAUGAUAUUAGUGUUGAGGAGUGGGAUGAGUGAAUUAUGUUUUUGUUUUGAUGUUGAAUAAAUAUUUUAUGUUUUGAAAGACAAUUAGUACUUAUAUUUGAUUAUAUUUAAAAGAUUGUUAUGGUUGAAUAAGAAUUAGUUGUACAAUUUAAUCGUAUUGUAUUAUUCAUAAAUUUUUCUUAUUAAAAUAACUUAAUGUUCAAAAGGCUUACGUCUCAAUACUUCAAGGCUUACGCCUCGCGUAGCACUACUAAAAACACCUCGCCUAUACGCCUUGCCUUA